rnacentral:pre_miRNA from 1 species
AGAUAAAGUAGUGCAGCCAAGGAUGACUUGCCGGAUUGCUUAUCUUUAGAUAUAUAAUAAUUAGAUUUACAUAUAUAUGGGAGAUAACCGACAAGUUGUCUUUGGCUACAAUUCUGUCUCA